AGCGAACGCUGGCGGCAGGCCUAACACAUGCAAGUCGAACGAACUCUUCGGAGUUAGUGGCGGACGGGUGAGUAACACGUGGGAACGUGCCUUUAGGUUCGGAAUAACUCAGGGAAACUUGUGCUAAUACCGAAUGUGCCCUUCGGGGAAAGAUUUAUCGCCUUUAGAGCGGCCCGCGUCUGAUUAGCUAGUUGGUGAGGUAACGGCUCACCAAGGCGACGAUCAGUAGCUGGUCUGAGAGGAUGACCAGCCGCACUGGGACUGAGACACGGCCCAGACUCCUACGGGAGGCAGCAGUGGGGAAUCUUGCGCAAUGGGCGAAAGCCUGACGCAGCCAUGCCGCGUGAAUGGUGAAGGUCUUAGGAUUGUAAAAUUCUUUCACCGGGGACGAUAAUGACGGUACCCGGAGAAGAAGCCCCGGCUAACUUCGUGCCAGCAGCCGCCGUAAGAC
rnacentral:rRNA from 1 species